UACGUAGGGUGCGAGCGUUAAUCGGAAUUACUGGGCGUAAAGAGCUCGUAGGUGGUUUGUCACGUCGUCUGUGAAAUUCCGGGGCUUAACCUCGGGCGUGCAGGCGAUACGGGCAAUACUUGAGUGCUGUAGGGGAGACUGGAAUUCCUGGUGUAGCGGUGAAAUGCGCAGAUAUCAGGAGGAACACCAAUGGCGAAGGCAGGUCUCUGGGCCACUACUGACGCUGAGAAGCGAAAGCAUGGGGAGCGAACAGGAUUAGAUA
rnacentral:rRNA from 1 species